GUACCCCUACGGGACGCAGCAGUAGGGAAUUUUCGGCAAUGGGGGGAACCCUGACCGAGCAACGCCGCGUGAACGAAGAAGUUAUUCGUAAUGUAAAGUUCUUUUAUCAGGGAAGAAAGAGGAAUUUGACGGUACCUGAGGAAUAAGCUCCGGCUAACUACGUGCCAGCAGCCGCGGUAAUACGUAGGGGGCAAGCGUUAUCCGGAUUUACUGGGUGUAAAGGGAGCGUAGACGGCCAGACAAGUCUGAAGUGAAAAUCCAGCGCUUAACGUUGGUAGUGCUUUGGAAACUGCCGGGCUAGAGUG
rnacentral:rRNA from 1 species